UUUUACUUUAGUCGGAUUAAUUAGUGUUUAAAUUGUAAUCCUUAUUUACAUUUGCCAGCAAUGUAAACUUUGAUAGAGAAGUUAAUUUGGCACGCAAGUCUUUUUUAGGUGACAGAAGGGACUCAAAAUGGAGAAAAUUAGCGGCAUCUCAUCACAACAGCGGCAAUUAGAAAAGCGUUCCAGCAAAAAUUCAACGAAUCUGUGGAAAUAAUGGAGCGAGUAACCAAAAGGUAUUUCCAUUAUGCUGGAGACAGGAUCUCAAAACGGCAUAAAAGAAAUGUUGCACAGUCGUCUGCAUAAAUAUCUGUUAUAUUGAUAAGUUUUAACAAUUUAUUUUUGUGGUACUUCAUUUUAGUUAUCUUUAUAAGAAUUGGGUUUAUUUUUAACAAGGGCCAUAUAGUUCAAAAUUCAAAAAUUGCGCAA